rnacentral:rRNA from 1 species
ACGCUGGCGGCGUGCUUAACACAUGCAAGUCGAACGAUGAAGCUGGAGCUUGCUCCGGUGGAUUAGUGGCGAACGGGUGAGUAACACGUGAGAAAUCUGCCCUUGACUCUGGGAUAACUGCGGGAAACUGUAGCUAAUACCGGAUACUUUCCUCGGUGGGCAUCCACUGGGGAAGAAAGAAUUUCGGUCAAGGAUGAUCUCGCGGCCUAUCAGCUAGUUGGUGAGGUAAUGGCUCACCAAGGCGACGACGGGUAGCCGGCCUGAGAGGGUGACCGGCCACACUGGAACUGAGACACGGUCCAGACUCCUACGGGAGGCAGCAGUGGGGAAUAUUGCACAAUGGGCGCAAGCCUGAUGCAGCAACGCCGCGUGAGGGAUGAAGGCCUUCGGGUUGUAAACCUCUUUUAGCAGGGAAGAAGCGAAAGUGACGGUACCUGCAGAAAAAGCACCGGCUAACUACGUG